CCAGAGCUGAACCCAUGGCAAGUCAUAUAACGAGUCGAGCCGCGAACGAAAAGGAGUCGACCGCUGUCGAGAAAAAAAAGAAUUCUUCAACGCGAGAGCAAACACAAUUAGAGGCAGCCCUUCCGGCUCUGCCUGUUCUUCUCCCCUCGCGUUGGCCCGGUCCGAGUGUUUUACGUUUCGUAAGAAAAAGAAGAAGAAGAUGCUUCGAGGUGCUCGAAGCUGUUCCUUUUCGUUCGAGUGGCAACGGUAGGAAGAGACAAAAGGAGGAGACGAACGCGAAGAGGACUCAAUCCUGCGCGGUGCGGCAAGCCGAGCUGGUAUAUAACCGACGAGGAAGGAGACGGUAAUAGCCAAUCACGCGGCGAACGCAAAAACCUCGACGAGGAGCGUCGUAAAGCUCGGUGAUGCUCUCUUCGUUUCAUCCUCGUUCCACCUGACGACGUCCGAGCCGGGAUGCAGAAGGAACGAACCGUUCGGGAGGGUUGCCCGCGAGAGGAUGCGUUCUCCCUCCGUUUCUCGUCGCCCGCUAGAGAUAUUAAUUAGAAUAAUUGCCGCUAACAGGCUCGUUAGCGUUGAACCGAGAUAGCAAACGAGCGCGCCUCGCACGCGAAAAUAAAAUGAGACGGCUCCCCGGGCGAAAGACCAACCUGCCAGGCGAGAUGAAAGAGGACGAGAGCACCAGCCGGCUCGCUUCUCCGCUGCUUACGGCAGAAGUACCUCAAUCAGGCUCGAGCUGCGUCAUUUGCAUAUUUCUUCGGGCUCGAUAUUCUUCCCCUUCGUUCCAUAGGAGAAAGUCAAAAGGGUGCUGAAUUAAUCCAGAAGUGUCGAUUGGAACUAAUUUAACCCCUUGGGACUCAGAUGUUCUUCAAAGAUGAAAUUUAAAACGUAGUACUUUUGCGACGACUCGAGCUAAUAGGGUGCCGUCCGCGCACCCUCGUGCUCCUCCGCGACGGGUACGUAGCCAACGACCUCCGUAUCGGUACGCUGUUCGCCGUCUGGUAGGAUUUUUUCUCGGAUACAAGGGAGAAGCAGAAAGAGAAUCGUUGGUUGGCCAGUCAGCAAUUCCGUCUUUAUUCCGCGAACGAGACCGGGGCCCUCCUAAUCAAUUCCAAUUAGAGAGCGGAAUAUUUGCGGGCCAAGCUGAGCGGAGCCCAUGGAAGGGACUAUUAGCAGUCUCUCUUACUACCGAGAGUCCCGAGCUGACUCUCGUUGGCCGUAAAUCAAGCACCGGCCCAUACAGAAUCCGCUUCACGGACAGACACGGAGAGACACGAGAUUCUGGUGUGCCGUUCGUACGUGUGGGUGUAACGUGGAUAACCAUGUGUCUGUGUAUCUCCGAGCGAGGGAUGGAGAGAGGUAGUGGAUAGGGUGGAAGAAGGAUGAAGAGGGUAAGUAGAAGGGAUCGAGCCGGUAGCUCGAGGAUCGUUGACUAACGAAGUGAACAUAACUCGGCCGAUACAACUCAAUACGCGAUCCACGGUGACAGUCGGUAAAACAGAGUAUUUCUAAUUGGCUGGACGGGACGCAUGCUGAUUAGGCUUUUCUUUUACCCUCGUUGUGGGAUCCACGGUGCAACGGCGGUGCCCGUGGUGGCCUGGCCAAAGAAACACGCUGAUUGGACACGUGGGGCAUGCCAUCGUUACACGCACCAAGCCUGCUACGGACUGCUUUCCUUCGCGCUGACCUGCACUACCUUCCUCUAUCCCCUUCCCUCUUCUCCCUCAACUAUCGGCGAUCGGUCCCGAUGUUAAUAUCGUAAUUAGCCGGGCUCCGCGGCGGGUAACGAUGACCGGAAAAGGCGAGUUUCCUUGGGAAACGAUUUCCGCGCUUAGAUAAAGGGGGAUACCGGUACAUGGACAGGUUGCCGAUUACACGGAGCGACUCGAUAAAAUGUAAUGUUAACGGCAAAGUGUUCGACGCAACGUGUAUGUUUCGUUGUUUUACGAAAAUGGAGAUUUCGAGGGGCUCGUUUCGAUCGAGAAUCGGCAAUCGAUCGUGGUGCUCGGAAACGGACCGGUCCAGAAUGGUCCUCGGGUUUUGCGCUCUGGUACAAUGGUCGUUAUUCAAAUUCCCCUCGGCUCGUUCGAUUUUUAUUCGGCUGCGCGGAGUUUACUUCGUGAGAAGGGGUCUCUCCUCGCCACGGUAGAUCGUGGAUCGAGAUUUCGAGGGAAUCCGACGACGCGGAUCCCACCACGUGGCCGGGUAAGCCUUAGGUCCGCGGCGAAUUUAAAAUUCUAAUCUUAUGAUUUGUGGCGGUCGACCGCUACUUCUGACAGCGACUGUACCAGCUACGACUCUAUUAGCCAAGACUUUUGCCCAAAGCCGCCUCUUGGAGAUCUUUCGAACGCGUAUUUUCAAAAAUGAAAAUUAUAAAAUACCAUACUAAUCUUAUCACCUCCCUCCAAUAUCAUACAGGAAUAAUUAAAAUGCUUCCUAUAGAAAUAUUCUGAGGUCCAAUAAAUAUAAUCCCGGGGCUUCAUUUUAUCUGCAAGGCAAAAGAAAGAAACAUCAAUUAGAACGGUGAUCCAGCUCGAUCGAUGAUUAAUCAAAGACAAUGUCGUCUCUGUUCCCCUGUCCGAUUGUCAACCCAUCCUCAGGAUAUUUCAUUGGAACAACGGGGACUGUAUUCAGCAUCGUCCACGCAUUGCGUGGAGCGAGCAACUGAAGACGUUCUCGGCCAAUUUAAAUACAUAUUGUUAGAGCCGGUUUAAUUAAGCCUACUUAAUUUUCUCUUCCGAAGGGCCCGCGCCAAUGCUGCUCGUAAUUAGUACGGACGCGCAUGCCGGCUCUCUUGGCCUCGUCUCGGUUCGCCUUUUGUUUUCUCUCUUAUUAGCCGCAUUAACCCCACCUGUAUCCUCGUGUUCACCAUCGUAUUCUUCUUCUUCGGGUCUUCUUCUCCACGCUAUUCGUUGUCCCGGCUAUGAAGAGCAUCGAGAACUCAUCGAGUCAUUCUUAACCCUUCUACCCUCGUCUGCUUAUUUUUAUUAAAUAUUUUCGCACACCUUCAUUUAUUCGAAAGAAUUCUUCACGAUAGUUGAAUGAUUUUAAUAGAUAUUAAGGGUAGGAAAGAGUAAAUCAUUUUCUUUGUCAUUUCAAUUAAUUUUAUUCAACUUCCUCUGGUAUUUGUUACAUUAGCCAGGAGGUUGUUACAAUUUACGUUCAGCCGGAUUUGUAAUUCAACGUGAGAAGAAGAGAUCUAGCUUUCGAGUGUCGUUUAAGCGGCCGAGCAACGGAUACGCGCAUAAAUACUCUUCGUAGCUCGAGCGUAGGUCGUUUUUCAAUUUCUCUCUUUCGUUCCGGUUAUUGGGAGCCCCGCGUUCGCGAGUCGGCACGGUACAAAGCGUGAAAUCGGCUUACCGUUAAGAGGAAUAAUUAACGACCGUUCGAGGACCUCUUCCAGUGACACUCUCGGUCCGCGUACUUUGGUUCCCUCGAUCCUCGAGUGGAAACGGAAAAACUGGAUCGACGUUUUGCUUGGAGUGGUUGUUCCCGGUGAUUUUUCACCGAUUUAUCACCGCUCUUCAGCACCGGAAACGUUUCACACUUGCUGUAAAUCAGUGCCAAGUACGUGCUCAAAGUAGAUUAGAAAAUUUAAGAUUCUCGAGUAGUAUUCUCGAACACCUUGGAAUAAUAUUUAACGAUCGUUUUCUCACCAAAAAUCCCGUCGUUUUCUAAAUUCCCCUCGAAAGCACAGUAUUUUCCAUCGUGCGAAAGGCAAACAUUGGGCAGGAUUUUUACGACUCCCAAUGAACGACGUAAGAGGACCGGUCGGUUGUAUCGAAAUCCGACGUUUUAAUCGUGUUUACCGGGGCUUUAACUGCGGAUUAACUUCUGCAGCCACUUUAGAUCCCCCGCGGUGGGAAAUGCGAUUCAUGGUGGGCCGAUUCUUUCAACCCCUCGACUAGGGGUGAGCAUAUGCCACGAGACACGAGGAUAAUAACGAUGCCAUAGAAAAAUUACGAUACCGAUGUAACACGACGAUGACGACUACGAGCGAGGAGUCAAGCUCAUCGGAGGGGGUGGACGAAGGGUGAGAAGGGAGAAACCCGCACUCGAAAAGGCCACCAAUUGACUCCUAUUGUUGGGCGAACGAUAGGCGCGGUAUUUUUGGCAGGACCGGCGUCGACUCGGCUUUUGUUUGCCUCGCGAUUUGACAGGCCUGAUACGCGUGCGACGACGUUGAAAUUUCAUCGCGAAAUCGGAGGUGUCGACGCGAUCAAUGGAACGCCUCGAGGAAUCCUCGUGGUCGUUAAAAGGAUAUAUCAAUACUUUGAUCGGUUAUUUCUUAUUCAAUUAUUCUUAAGAGAUAUCGAAAUGAAAUUAUCUUGUCCUUAUCCAGAAACGUAUAGAACGUGUAUAAAUUCUUAAAGAAUAUUUCUCCCCAGAGGAUCAUUUAGAAUCCCUCCGUUGAUGAGCGUUAUUCAAACGAAUCCCCUAUCGAUUAACCACGUCUCAUUAUCAUAUAAUAUCAGCCAAUAUUCUAGCACCCCUGUUCAACGCCGAGGUCCCUUCCCCACUGUCCAUAGAAAUUAAUAAUCGGACCGACAGACACGAGAUAUAGGUGUACAGUAACGGACACGCAUAUUACGCGUGUCAGGUUAAUACGCGUGCGGCUGUUGCUCGCACACGCGUGUACACGCGUAACACACACGGGGUGGCAAUAAAUUCAUGACUUAACCUCCGCCCGUAUGCAAAUCGGGGGAAUGUUAUUACAGGCUGAGAUUACACGCGACGAUUUCGUUGUAUACGUUUCCCACCGGCGGCCAUGGUAAUAGAAUAAUCGUUCGAUCGUUUUUCGAGGGUGGUUACCCGAGGGGUAGUUCCAGGGGCUUAUUAAAAAGCCGGCAGAGAAAUUUCGUUCCUUUCGAAAAAUCAUAUCCCUGUUACGCGUUUACCGGCCCCAAUAAUCGUUCGGCCAUGGAGGGUUGGCUUUAUUAGUUUAUUUAUCGUCGUGUUACCGGCUCGAAGAUUUAGCCGGGAUUUUUAUUAGCCAAGGGAUGUUAAGCUUCACGGGAAUCCGGCGGGAUACGCGAGGCUCAUAAAGAUUAAUAGAUCACCGAGUCUGCCAAAUAAUCAAGAUAGUUCGUGGAUCCUUUUUGAAACGUGCACUUUUCGAAGGGUUGAAGAAUCUAGCCACUUGCAUUUUCAUUAAAGACAGAUUUAUUUUACGGUAGAAAUUAUUAAAUGUAUCAAAAAUUAAUUUGUUACAAUAUUGAUUAUCGUAGCAGUAGAAUCAGGUAGAAAAGAAAGGAUUAACAGGAAGGCCAAUUAUCUCGAAUGUAUUCCGUAAAAUUUCCAUGGGCAUGGGACGAUCCAGCUAGCUUAUUGGAUCUGGAAUCAAGAUGUCCAAUCAAGAUCGAAAAUUCAUGGUUCUCGGAAGAGCGCGUAGACAAGGAUUUUAACUGGCGACGUGGUCCCCUCCUCCCUUUUCUUUCUCGUUCAGAAAAUUCAUGCUGUCCGCGUUGAAACGAAAAAGAAGGGGCGCAUCGGGGGCGCAGGCGGAACCAAUUUUUCGCAUUAAAAUUCCCCGAGUCAGGGAAAGAGCUGUGCGUACGAGAAUGAGCAGGGAUGGGCCAACGGAGGCCCUUAUACAGGUAGGCUUAACAAGGUCCAAUACUUUUCCCUCGCGGCGUCCAAUGGCAAUAUAUUAGAGUCCGAAGCGCGGGGGGCCUUGGCAUUGUUGCCGCCUGUCUUCUCCGCGUCCCUGGCUAACUUUUGUCCCGAUCUUCGAUAUAUGCGGAAGGUUCUGUAACGUAUCGAGUCCUCCUUCAGCUCCCUUCCUCUUCUCCGUAUGCAUCGAUGCAAAAGAUCGCAAAGAUGACCCUUUCGAGGCUCCUUGUCGAAUCGACAUGAAAACGGGACCAGAGAAUCGUCGAUGGAAAUUUUUUCUCGUUUCUUAAAAGAACAAUUAAUGUUUUUUUUCUACGCAAAAUGUGGUUAGAAAAUUGAAAAUAAAUUAUUGAAAUCGUAUUAGCUCGUUAACGUUUCAGGCGGCGAGAAAGAAUUUACGGGUCGGUGAGCUUAAUGAAGUAAUAGGGCCAGUAAUCUGCGAUCGGCUCCCAUUAUCGACACGAACGGCAGCCGCGUAGACCAGAGAUCUCGUAUCUCGCGCCGAUGCAAAUUCGGCGAAUUUUACGGAUGCCCGGCGCACUAAAGAUCAGCGCGGACCAGCGGGACGGGCCGAGUGGUUAAUUGCGCAAAACGUCCAAAACGCGAGUGGUCCAGGCUGGAAAGAGGAUUUGGAAGAGGAACGAAGAAAGUUGUUAACGAAGUUGAAAAGAGAAUACAAUUAGCGAGGGAAUCGUAGCAGGAAAGAAAGGUAGAAAAUUAUAUAUACAUUCCAGGUUGAGAAUCUUUAUUGUAAACGGUAUGAAUUUUUCAAAGAAACAUACGUAUUAUAAUCAGGUUAUGGUUAAAAUAUACGCGCAUUCUUGCUGAAUCGUCACGCCUCUUCAAGCAUACUCUUCAAUUAGUUCGGGAUCAUCUUCUCACGGAAUAAACAUAUCAUUACUUAAUGCGAGAAAAAGGAGAGGAGGGAAAAAAGCAGAGGGCAGGGAGAAAAAGGAACGAGAGGAGGCGACGGGGAAUAAGAUCGAGCGUAAUGAAACUCGCGCGCUCGCAAAAGAAACAGACGGGUCGCGGUAGUGGUAUCAUUCGUCAAGUCUUAAUUUCUCAAUGAAUCAGGCCCGUCUAAUUAAGGAGCUUCGGCUGAGUCGAGCAUGGAUGGGCAUUAGCAUCCAGCGGGUCUGUAAUUUGUGCCUCUCUUAAUUAAAUCAUCCGUUAGCCAAACGGGGCCCCUCUCUCGGCCCUCGACGCGUUCUUCUUGUCUCUCUUUCUUUACUGCUCCUCCUUCUUUUUGCCCUCUUUUUAUGCCAGUGCUCCGUUCGCGAGAGUUGGGUCCUGCUGGAUCCGAAACGUACCUACGUUUUCGGCCCCACCUUUGUUUUUCGCGGUUCCACUCCCUCUCCCUGGAUCCAACAGGUCUUCUUUCUCCCUUCUUUCUUUUUCUGCGAAACCCUUUUUUUCGGGAGAAUGCAAACAAAUUUUAUGGACAGCGACGUGGGACCGAGAACGUCGCGUCGUCUUCUAGUUUCAGAUUGCUUUCUCCUUCGAUUUUUAAUUCCACUUUCAUCUUUCACCCUUUAUUACUUUAUUUAAUUUUAUUGUACAUUUUACACGGGAAAUCAUUGUUCGAAAAGAAAAUGUGCACCGAAAUUGUCGGAGAAACGAUCGGAUCGUUAAUUUUGUUGCUCGCUGUAAUUGCAUGUAAAAAUGUAGAUGUAUUUGCCAGCGGCCCGGUGAUACAACGCGACACGCUAUCUUGAUGCAAUAUUUUCUUUUUUGCCACCACAGCGACGGUAAUAAACGCGGAAUUAUGUAUUCGAUUAAUUUAUUUUUAAAUAGCCCGCGUAAUAUCACGCUCGCCGCGUUUUCAUUAACAACGGCGUCGCCGUAAAUUACCACUCAAUUCCAGCAUCGUAGGGGAAGCGCUAACGAUAUUUUUCUUGCUUCUUUUUUUCCUCGAGCGUUCCAACGCGGCUGCCGCUGCAAUUCAUUAAAAGAAUAAAAGAGCAACGCGAAAACCGUGCUAAUUACAAAAAAAAAAGGAACGAUCGCACCCCUUGCGCGCAUCGGACACGAGGAAAAAAUGCGGCUAGGCGUUAUUUGCAAGAAACUCGCAGCUGAUUUUAUCCACUUUCACGAAAUAUUUGCAACACAAAAUAUUUUAUCUUAUCGCUCGAAUUACCAAGAUCUUAUUUAACGCCUGACAAGCAUCAUUAAUUAUAAUUAAACAUUCUUUUCGUUCACGCAUCCUCUAUUUAACGACUAAUUUUAGUAUUCUUCCAUCUAACUUUGUUAUCAUUUCUGCAUUAACACCGUGUUUAUUUAAAGCCAGAUAGAAACGGGGAAAAGAUAAAUGUGCAAAGAUCAGUCAAAACGAAAAUAGAAGAAAAUGACAAAACGAAAAUAAAUUACACGAGCAGCUAAGUGUUAAUGGUUCGAGUGAUUAUGCAAGCGCUAUACGCCAAUCAGAGUCGUCGAUGUAGCCGUUCGGAGUAGCUGUGUAACUCGUAGCUCGACAAAGAGAGUAGAGAGAAAGAAAGGGAGUCACGAGUAGUGGACCGUAGCAGUCACCGGUGGCGAGUGCGUUAAUUAGCGGGAUGCUCACGCGAGCCGGCAAUUAAAACAACAUCUUCAUUAUUAGGUGUAUAUAGAAAGGGCCCCGAUGGGCCAGCUCCCGUACACCAGACGUUUGCAGUAGCCGCUAUUCUAUAAACGGAAUAACUUGGUAAACAGAGACUGCUACCAGCUCAUUACCGUCGCGUUAUCACAGCUACCAACUUUCAGCCACUUAACUUGCCUUCAAUCUAGUAAGAAUUUACUUGCCGUGAUAAAGCGUUUCUAUUUACCCUGUCGCGUGAACGUACCACGGGGCCAAGUAAUUACAGGCUGUCUCAAAAUAGGUACCAUUACCCUUUUGUCAAUUAAUUAGAGUGUCGUGUCUAGGUGUAAUGUGCGACUGGUAAUUUUCCCUCUAUAUUGAUUUUUUCCCUAGAGAAACCUAGGUCGGCGAAACUACCCCUUUUAAAGGGUAGAAUCAUACGGUUUUUUAUGUUUGCCUUAUCCUAUCCUACUUUAAACUCUGUUUAAAUUUAAUUUGUGAUAAACUUAUUAAUUUUUAAAUAUCUGAAAAUAUAUCACCUCACCUAUUACAGACUUACUUAAAAUUCUUUCAACAUCCAGAAAACGGAUACGCCUCCUUUAUCGAUACGGUGUGAUCAUUGAAAAAUUACAGAUCUCUCGUGUCUUUUUUCAGACACGUCGGCAUAAUUAACUGAUAAAGGAGGUUCAUAUUAGCGUGCCAGCCCGGCAAGUAAUUACUAUACGUUAUUUAGACCGGGCGUGUAUUAAAAUCGCCAAUUUGCGAGCGAAAUCGUUCGAUAAAGAUGUUGUACUUUCAGAGCGGUCGCGUUAUCGAUUCGAUUGCUACGUGUUUUCCGAUCGAGCCAGAUACACAGAAGGGUCCUACCCGAUCCCUCGAACGUUCCUGGGUGCGUCGCAUAUUUAUUCAAUUCGUCGCGACGCACCUGCCCCGCUUAUCUUCCGGUUAAAGUGUUUCUCGUUACCUUGCGAAGCAGACAAACCUGCUUCGCAACGCAUCAUCGUCUCCGCUCGACUAUUCAACAAAUGACACUGACCGUGAGCUUCGUCGACUAUUCUUAAACCUGUGUUGGAAUUUUCUUAAAAUUAUAAACAGCUAGAUUUCACGGCUAACAGUUACGAUGUCGACGCCCGUUAGUUGCACCUGGUACAUACCGGUUUGUUAAAUACCGGCAGCAAGGUGCAAAUAUCUUUAAAAAGGCGCUCUGUUUCGAAGGAACUAGUUUCAGAAAGAAUCCAAGACGCUCUUUUACAUUCGUACCAAGUCUAAAAAGGCUCAUUCAACUUUGGUCUCUCAGCUAAGACAACAAUUUACAAUUUCCUGACUGUAAAUCCGGCGAAAUUGUUUAAAAGGAAGCGUAAGUGCGAGUUAACGACGCGAACGUCGUUUCCGCCUCCCCUCUCUUGUUUUAUUAUUUAAUUUCAGCUGGGUACGCGUUAUGAGACAUGAAAAAAGUCUUGGCGAUAUUGUAGUAGGUGGAUUUGCUAGCGAGAGAACACGCCCCCGCUAGCCUCGGGCAGGGGACGCGCGGCGUCGCGCACGGUGACAUUAUUAUUCGUUAUGAACGGGUUUACGAGGCCGCAAAUCAUAGCCGUGUUCAUAUUUCGAACGGCAGCACUCCUCGUUAUUCAGUUUAAUGGCGGCGCUAUUUGAAUUCCCGAUCCUCCCUCCUGCUCGACCGCCCCCGCUUUUCUACCACCACGUUUCGCCCCCCGUUUCGUCAUCCGCGCUUUACAAUGUUACGCGAUAAAGAAUGCCCGAGGCUGCGCAAUGCGGACAUUUUCGAGUCACCCCUUUCCAUCCGUUAUUUCUACGAUUUCUUAGAUCUCGAUAGAUCUCUAGAUCUAUCUAGACGUCUAUAGAUCUUUAUCCUUCUUUCAAAGUUCUUUUUGAAUCUUCUUUCUCCUAUUCCCCAUGCUUUAAAAAUGACGGGAAUUAUCUGAGACGUAAAACAAAAGCUUCCCUUAAAAUGUUUCGCGAAUUUUCACCUACUUUUCCAUCUCCUACUUCAGGAGAUCGUAUUACUAGGGUUGUUAUAAGGGGGUAGCGGUUUCUUUGGGGAAGGAUCUUGUCCUCUGUUUCGCUAGUGGCAAAGGUGCCGACGACGCCUCUUAAGUAGCUUUGCGAGCAGCGUCUUUCGAAAAUGUUUGCUCAACGUCGUGGCUUGUUUCUGCACCUGGAAAAGGGUUGACGCGACGCAGCCCACCCUGUCGUCGCCUGUUUCCCCUCGCCUCAGAAUAGCGACCAGUAUAUCAGCCUUUAUUUUCUUUUCAAACAUUUCGUACUUGGCAUGUUGAUUUGUACGGUUGAAAUCAAGUCGAUUUUUAUCGAUCUUUCAUGGAUCUACGUAAAGCGAACGAGGCGUUUCGCAGUAAAUUGGGAACGCGCGUGUCGAGGCGCGAAAAUUAAAGACCAUAAAUCAUACGCUCGUUCCGCGUCGGUGGCCCAUGAAUAUUAAUGGAAAUCAUUGCGCCGUUUACAGGCCUAUUAAUCCGGGGUUAAAGUAUUCCGUCUUCGGUGGUGUUUUAUCGGCCGGCGAAGGGUUUGUCCGCCGAGCGUUAUUAAUCCUAUCAAUCAUUCAGCCCAUGGGUUAAUUCUCUUUCUCUCCGCCCUUUGGCACUUCUUUUCAGAACGGCAACUUCGUACACGAGCUGGAUACAUUAAUCGUCGAUAGAAGAUCGAUUACAGGACACGUGACGAACAGCGACCAGCUAUGUUUCUACUACAGGGUAGAAGACGAGACACAGGAAAAGGAACAUCCCUUUAACGCAAACAGCGACUACAGAUCCAGAAAGAGUAGACAUAGCUUUGUUCUCGAGGAGUUAUGGUUUUAAGGGGGCAAAACACCGUCAGAUGAAGCAAGUCUGCAUGUAAGGAGCACAGACGGAUGUACCACACAUCGAAUUCACAAAUGAAGACAUAAUUUUGAUUUCUUUUGAUUUUUAUUCCUAUUUUUUUUAGAAAUCAUUCAAAAUCAGCACAAGAUCAAAAAAUUGUUCAAAUAAUUGUUUGA